rnacentral:rRNA from 1 species
UACAGAGGUCUCAAGCGUUUGUUCGGAUUCAUUGGGCGUAAAGGGUGCGUAGGUGGCGGGGUAAGUCAGGUGUGAAAUCUCGGGGCUCAACCCCGAAACUGCACUUGAUACUGCCUUGCUCGAGUACUGGAGAGGAGAUUGGAAUUUACGGUGUAGCAGUGAAAUGCGUAGAUAUCGUAAGGAAGACCAGUGGCGAAGGCGGGUCUCUGGACAGUUCCUGACACUGAGACACGAAGGCCAGGGGAGCAAACGGG